rnacentral:rRNA from 1 species
GACGAACGCUGGCGGCGUGCUUAACACAUGCAAGUCGAACGGAAAGGCCCUGCUUUUGUGGGGUGCUCGAGUGGCGAACGGGUGAGUAACACGUGAGUAACCUGCCCUUGACUUUGGGAUAACUUCAGGAAACUGGGGCUAAUACCGGAUAGGAGCUCCUGCUGCAUGGUGGGGGUUGGAAAGUUUCGGCGGUUGGGGAUGGACUCGCGGCUUAUCAGCUUGUUGGUGGGGUAGUGGCUUACCAAGGCUUUGACGGGUAGCCGGCCUGAGAGGGUGACCGGCCACAUUGGGACUGAGAUACGGCCCGAACUCCUACGGGAGGCAGCAGUGGGGAAUUUUGCACAAUGGGCGGAAGCCUGAUGCAGCAACGCCGAGUGCGGGAUAACGGCCUUCGGAUUGUAAACCGCUUUCGCCUGUGACGAAGCGUGAGUGACGGUAAUGGGUAAAGAAGCACCGGCUAACUACGUG